rnacentral:rRNA from 1 species
UGCCAGCCGCCGCGGUAAUACGGAGGUCCCAAGCGUUGUUCGGAUUCACUGGGCGUAAAGGGUGCGUAGGUGGCGUGAUAAGUUUGGUGUGAAAGCUCCGGGCUCAACCUGGAAAUUGCACUGAAUACUAUCAUGCUAGAGGAUCGGAGGGGAGACUGGAAUUCUUGGUGUAGCAGUGAAAUGUGUAGAUAUCAAGAGGAACAUCAGUGGCGAAGGCGGCUCCCUGACCAAAGACUGACGCUCAUGUGCGAAAGUGUGGGUAGCGAACAGGAUUAGAUA